AUUGAACGCUGGCGGCAUGCUUUACACAUGCAAGUCGAACGGUAACAGGCCGCAAGGUGCUGACGAGUGGCGAACGGGUGAGUAAUGCAUCGGAACGUGCCCAGUCGUGGGGGAUAACGCAGCGAAAGCUGUGCUAAUACCGCAUACGAUCUAUGGAUGAAAGCGGGGGACCGUAAGGCCUCGCGCGAUUGGAGCGGCCGAUGUCAGAUUAGCUAGUUAGUGGGGUAAAGGCCCACCAAGGCGACGAUCUGUAGCUGGUCUGAGAGGACGACCAGCCACACUGGGACUGAGACACGGCCCAGACUCCUACGGGAGGCAGCAGUGGGGAAUUUUGGACAAUGGGCGCAAGCCUGAUCCAGCAAUGCCGCGUGCAGGAAGAAGGCCUUCGGGUUGUAAACUGCUUUUGUACGGAACGAAACGGUCUGGGUUAAUACCCUGGGCUAAUGACGGUACCGUAAGAAUAAGCACCGGCUAACUACGUGCCAGCCGCCGCCGUAAAAC
rnacentral:rRNA from 1 species